AAAAACGAGGUAGGAUGUGUUACGGUUUGGAAGGGUGCCAGUUUGAUAAAUUGUGGAAUUGUGUGUUGUACAGAAGUUUGUUGAGAAUUAUUUUGUUGUGAAGUGAGAAUUGAUGCUCUGUUAUAGAAUUUUUUCUUAAAGUCUUGAGGAACUCAUUAAUGCUUUGCAAUAGUAGUCUAAGAUUAUAGAAUUCUAAAGGCGAUCUCUGAGGAUUUAUAUAGUUUCAAAAAGACUUAUCAUUGAAAAAUCUAUAAAUAUUUUAAAUUGCUAAAGCAGGUUCUAGGAAAGCAAAAUAUAACCAACAUCUAUUAAUGUUUUUUUAGUUUCAUAUGAUUUUCACUCAUUUUGGUCUUUUUAUCUAGUAAACAGAUCUAAUAAGGUCAUUGGGGAAUGAAGGAGUGGCCAUUUCAUUUGUCUGACAAUUCAUGACCCCAUUUAGAGUUGAGGGGUUUUUUUCUGGCCAAAGAAUGAAUCGUUUUUUCCAUUUGCUUCUCCAGUCCAUUUCACAGAUGAAGAAACUGAACAAAACAGUAAAGACCAGAAUUUCCCUGUGCAAGGAACUUGAUCCCUUUUAAUCUUCUUUGGAAAAAGAGGAUGCAAAGAAGAGUCCAAAAAUUAGAUUUGUUUUCUUGUCAAAUAGAUAAAGGCAAAAAUGAACUAGGGCUUUGUACUCGUAUAUUCUUUGAUCAGCAGAUGAGGAUGAAAAGGAACCAGGUGUUUUUAUUACUGAAAUUAUUGAAGGAGGUGCAAUCCACAAACUUGGAUGCAUCCAAGUAUUUGACCAGAUUAUUAAAAUAGGUGACUCCAAUCUAAUUGGAUUAGAUGAACAAGGAAUCUUUACUUUAAAAAAAAAUGGAAAAUUGUGUUUUCCAGAUUGAAAUUGGACGAGAACCACCUCAAGUCAAGUCAGAACUCAUCAUACUCCUCCAGUUGUCAGAGGAAAGGAAGAAAUAUUUUAUGGAUUCAUUCAUAGUUAAGGAAAAAGUUGGAGAUAUCCAUAUUGUGAAAGGAGAAGCAAGAAACUAUAAGACUUCACCAAUAGCAUGGCUCUGGAUCAUCAGGUGAGAAAAAUGAGACGCAGAGAAGACAUACAGAAAAAGCUAUGACUUCAGGUCUUCUGGCUCUAAAUUCAAGGCUCUAGAUUCUUCACUAUGCAAUACAAGAAUCAAAAAGGAAGAAAAAGCAGAAGAAAUAGUAUUAGAAGAAGAGAUUAGCAGUGCCAAACUUAACAAGGAAAAGGCUCAAAGGAGAUUUUUCUGCAAUGGCAAAGAACACAAUUGGUGGAACUCCUUUUAUUUUAAAAAAAUAUAAGCAAAUAAAGAAUGUGUAUAAGCUCGAAAAAACUGAUCAAAAGGUAAGUUUUCAUUAUGUUAAAUUUGUCAUAAAAUGCAUGUGGGGUUUUUUGUGUGUUUGCCCACUUUAAUUACUAGAUAUUAAGUGUGUGUUUUCUGAUUUUAAUUGUUUUCCCUUUUUAAUUACUAUGUUUUGAGCUUUUUUUAAAAAUAAAAAUCCCUUACCUUCUGUCUUAGAAUCAAUACUGUGUUUUGGUUCCAAGGCAGAAGAGUGGUAAGGGCUAGGCAAUAGGGAUUAAGUGACUUGUUCAGAAUCGCACAGCUAGGAAGUGUCUGAGACCAGAUUUGAACCCUGGUCCUCCUAGCUCUAGGCCUGGCUCUCAGUCCACUGAACCACCCAGAUGCCCCCAUACUGAGCUUUUUUAUAACUUGAAUUUAGUAAACUAUAGUUUAACUUUAAUAUGGGUUUGAUAUUCUGUCACAAUUACUAAUCAGUACAGCUAAUAUAAUUAUCUAAAGAGUAAGGAGCAACAGUACCAUAAAGGCAACUGUUUGACCAAAUUUGAAGUCUCCUUUUUUUCCCCUGGGAAUAUUCAAGACCUCUCUCAAUAAAAGGGAAUGAUUCAGAGCUCUUUAAACAUUUAACUUGUCUUUAUUUGAUAUUCUAAGGUCAAGGAAUAGUUGAUUAAAUGAUGUACUUUUUACAAAAUAAUAUCACCUCAGAAUACUGUUGGGUGAAAAAUUUAAAAGAUUAUGUCACCGAGUAUUGGCACUUAAACUAAUGAAAAGUGUAAAUUGAAUUGUAUGGGCACAGGCAGGGCAGAAGUGACAACAUGGUUUUCCCUCUAUGAGACAGAAAGGAUCUCUGAAGGGGCUGUGCAUUAUUUUAAAAAUAAGAGUUAUGUAAAAUGGUAAAAGUUUACCAAGAAGUACCACUGUCAGUUGUUGGCAGAACAGUUGGAGAUAUUCCUUGAUUUCUUUUAAUGAAAUUUAAGCAAUUUUGGCCUCAACUUUUUUUUUUUAAACCCUUACCUUCCGUCUUGGAGUCAAUACUCUGUAUUGGCUCCAAGGCAGAAGAGUGGUAAGGGCUAGGCAAUGGGGGUCAAGUGACUUGCCCAGGGUCACACAGCUAGGAAGUGUCUGAGGCCGGAUUUGAACCUAGGACCUCCCGUCUCUAGGCCUGGUUCUCAAUCCACUGAGCUACCCAGCUGUCCCCUUGGCCUCAACUUUUUAUUAAAAUCAAUGUGUUUGUGUGGAUCUGUGUACAUGUCUUGAUUUACUGUGCCUGUGUAAGUAAGGAAAAGAGGAUGAAAGCCUAUUGAGAAAAUGUCCAUUGAUACUUCACAUAUGUAUGUAUUUGUACACAUACAUAACAUUUACAAGUAAAUGAGUGAAUAUACAUAAACAUGUACAUAUGAGAAGUCCAACUAAGGACUUCAUAACAUACCAUGCAUUAAGGGGCAUUUCUGACCUGCCCAAUUUUCUUUGGCAAGAAUAAAAACCUGAAUUGCCUCAGACUAGAAAUUCCUUUGAAUCCUCUAGGAUGGUCACAUCUCUUAAUAGAUGCUGAAACAGCAUUCACAGCACACUGACUACCAGAGAUGGAUUUUUUCUAUUUCCCUUUAUUCAUAAAAAUCUAAAUGAAAAUAAACACAAGCUUUCAUCUAAAUCUAAAAUUGACGAUAUUGAAUAUUCUUAUCACUUGUGUAGGCAUGAUGGCCAAUUUGCCAAAAUCUUGUGAAAGAAGUUAGAUUUUGCCCUUUACUUUCCAGAAAUACUACUGAUCAGCAGAAAUAGACACAAAACUAGGAAGCAUUUUAAUAGUUCCUCACCAAUUUUUCAACUGAUAUUGUAGCCUCAGUCAGAGAGUUAUGAUCUACCAAACACUGAUAGAUAGAACUGGGGACAGAGGGUUUUUUGCCUUCCUAAACAACCAUCACUAGAUUCUAAAGUAGUUAAAACUUCACUGGACUAUCUAUCCUCACUAUGAGGCUUAGAGUCUAAUGAUGAUUCCUUCCCUGCCCAGAAAACCCAGAAGCAUUUCCCCGCUUUGCCCUGCCAAGCUGCCUUAACUUCCUCUCUGGGUGGAUAUAUUGAGUAAAGUAGCCUGUGCUCUUGGCUUGAACCCACCAGAGAGGAUUCACAUAUGGGGCAGAAGGGAAGCACUUAUUGUAAGGAAUCCUUUGGUUCCUUUGGGUUGUGUGAACAGAACACAUGUGGGAAAGCAAUGAAAUAGAAUAAUAGAAAUUCCCAAACACAAUCCUGUUAAGGAUAUUUCAAUAGAUAGACGAUCAAUUGUGGUACCUGAUCAGCCUGGAUAUAACCAGAAAGCCAACUGGACAUGAUCCUUCUGUACAGAUAGUGAAUAUUUUUGAUGACAUGAGUCAAAAGCUGUCUUUAUCACACAUACAAAAAAAAACUUUGAAAAUAUGUUUUCACAUGUAUGUUACUUUUUGCAAAACAUGCUGGUUAACCAAAAGCUCAGGAAAGAUAAAGACUUUGUAACAAAGGUCAAGAGAUGAAAGCCUGUUGCUAGGGUACCAUUAGGAGAGCAAAAAGAAUUCCUGGUAGCAGAAUCUCAAUAUCAAAGGACAUGACGAUUUUAAUUAUUUUAUGUACUUUCCCAAAUGGCUGUUCUGAUUCACAGUUCCAUCAACAAAGCACCAGAGUGCCUGUGGUCCCACAAUCCUUUCAAAUUUAAUUAUUCCCCUAUCAUCCCAUCUUUGACAAUUGAUUUGGGUGUGAAGUAAGACUCCAGGAUAAUUUUAUUUGAAUUUCUGUUAUAUUAAUGACUUAGAGCAAUUUUUCAUCUAUUUGUUUAUAUUUUACAGGGGUUUUUUGAGAACCAUUUGACCAUUAUCUUUGGGGGAA